AUGGCAUCGAUGUCGUCGAGCCUCUCGCUGCCGUGCCUCGCCCUCCAGUGCGACUUGGGCCGGUCGACGUCGACGGUGCUGCUCAGCGUGCCGGAGAAGAAGGUCGUCGCCACGGCGGCCGACGUCGACGCCCUCAUCGCGCCAGCGCUGGCCAACAAGAGCGUACUGCCCACGGCGCGUGGCUACGUGCUCGCCCGGGACCCCGCCUCCCUGGCCACCUUCCUCUACAGCCCCCAGAGCCGCCGCAAGAUCGACCUGCCGCCGCUAGCCAUCGACCAGGACCUGCUCAGGCACGGCGCCCACUGCCUGCUCUCCCACGAGCCCACCGAUCCCAGCUGCGUCGUGCUCCUCGUCGAGCCCAACACCACCUUCAUCUGGCACCUCCGCCUCGCCGGUGACCAGACGCAGUGGCAGAGACACGAGUACGACAUCGGGUCCCAAGUGUACGACGACGACGAGGAUGACGAAAAGCAUCCGGCCUGGGUCGGGAAGACCGUGAUCCGCCAGAUUAGCGCGUGCCGCGGCAAGUUCUACUUCAACCUGCCCUCGACCGAGCUGGGCGUCGUCGACUUCUCCGCUGGCCCGCCGGCUUUCGGCUCGAUCCCCGCCGGGUGCCACGACGAAGGGGAGUAUGCCGUGGUGGGCAGGGUUUUCCUGGUGGAAUCCGGAGGGGAGCUCUACAUGGUAAAGCUGCUGAUGGACGAGGCCAACCUGAACAAGUACACGGGCUUGAGCGUCUACGUGAUGGAUUUCGAGCGGACGCGGUGGCGCAGGGUGGGUGAUCUCGGCGGCCGCACCUUCGUCAUGGCGCCAGUCUACGUCGGCGCCUCGUGCGAGGCCGGACGGCUCCGAGGCGACUGCGUGUACGUGGUGUGCCCAAUGUCAAAGGAGUUGCAGGUUUUCGACGUCAAGGCCGGCAGCAUCCAGACGCAGAGGCUUGACGAAGCUCCCUUCUCGAACAACGGAUUUUGGGUGCUUCCCACUAGCUGCUAA
rnacentral:rRNA from 1 species